CCGACCUUAGCUCAGUUGGUAGAGCGGAGGACUGUAGUUGACGCAGAUAAUCCUUAGGUCACUGGUUCGAAUCCGGUAGGUCGGA
rfam:Arabidopsis thaliana chromosome 1, complete sequence.